UUUAACGUCAACAAACAUGCCACAUCCUUAGGACUUCGUUAGAGUGACAGUUGUUUGUUUCAAGGUAAACCAUUCCCAGAGGUCUAACGAGACACCUCUGAAGACUUGGGUAAUUGCAAAGGAGGAUGGAGAAGUGAUUGCAGCUCAUUGCAAUUGUAUGGCAGGACUAUCAGAAUCAUGCUCGCACGUUGGAGCUGUUCUUUUUGCAGUUGAAGCUGGGGUGAAAAUGAGAGCGACAUGCACAUCAGAGCAGUGCAAGUGGCUGAUGCCAUCUCAUGUUAAAAAGAUUCCUGCUUGCCCAGUAACUCUGAUUGACUUCUCUUCAGCAAAGUCAAAAAA